GGGAAAUGAUCGUCUGGAUAUAGUCCAUCAUGUUAGCUAUGCACUGCCUAGUGAUCUGCCAUCGAUGUCAUCUUUACUUUCAUUCUCCAAUACUAAAAACAUAAUGUUAGAUUUGGAAUAGCACGCAGAAAAUUAGUUUGUAAGGAUUGAAAGUAAAGAUGGGAUGGAUGGCAGAUUCACUAGGUGGUCCAUGGCUUAUGUGGUGGACCAGGUCCAAGCAAUAAUUUCUU
rnacentral:pre_miRNA from 1 species